rnacentral:snRNA from 1 species
GGAUGUGAGGGCGAUCUGGCUGCGACAUCUGUCACCCCAUUGAUCGCCAGGGUUGAUUCGGCUGAUCUGGCUGGCUAGGCGGGUGUCCCCUUCCUCCCUCACCGCUCCAUGUGCGUCCCUCCCGAAGCUGCGCGCUCGGUCGAAGAGGACGACCUUCCCCGAAUAGAGGAGGACCGGUCUUCGGUCAAGGGUAUACGAGUAGCUGCGCUCCCCUGCUAGAACCUCCAAACAAGCUCUCAAGGUCCAUUGUAGGAGAACGUAGGGUAGUCAAGCUUCCAAGACUCCAGACACAAAAUUCUGCCAAGUUAGCUCAUUUAU